UUAGUUACAGCUGCAGGAAGAA
rnacentral:miRNA from 1 species